AUGCUCACUUUGGCAGCACAUAUUCUAAAAUCGGAACGGUAAAGAGAUUAGCACGGCCCCUCUGCAAGGCUGACAUGAAAAUUUGUGAAACAUUCCCCCCAAAA
rnacentral:snRNA from 1 species